AUUGAACGCUGGCGGUAUGCUUUACACAUGCAAGUCGAACGGUAACAGGGAGCUUGCUCCGCUGACGAGUGGCGAACGGGUGAGUAAUGCGUCGGAACGUGCCGAGUAGUGGGGGAUAACGCAGCGAAAGUUGUGCUAAUACCGCAUACGUACUGAGGUAGAAAGUGGGGGACCUUCGGGCCUCACGCUAUUCGAGCGGCCGACGUCUGAUUAGCUAGUAGGUGAGGUAAAGGCUCCCCUAGGCGACGACCAGUAGCGGGUCUGAGAGGAUGAUCCGCCACACUGGGACUGAGACACGGCCCAGACUCCUACGGGAGGCAGCAGUGGGGAAUUUUGGACAAUGGGCGAAAGCCUGAUCCAGCCAUGCCGCGUGUCUGAAGAAGGCCUUCGGGUUGUAAAGGACUUUUGUCGGGGAGGAAAUCCCCAGCGCUAAUACCGCUGGGGGAUGACAGUACCUGAAGAAUAAGCACCGGCUAACUACGUGCCAGCAGCCGCCGUAACAC
rnacentral:rRNA from 1 species